GCGCAAUCUGGGCGUCAAUUAGAGAGACAUUACUGUACAGACUAAAUACGUUAUUCAUUCAAUUAAUUUACAGAUUGUUCAUACUGCACUCAUUCUUUUCCCGGUGUACCGGGAAUUAUGCCCAUGACAAAAUAGUCAUUUUCAUUCUUCGGUGUUGACACAGCUAUCGAUCAAUUGCAAAAAAAGAAUCGUGUAAACACUGACGAACUUUCGACUUCACUUAUUACGUUCUGACGAUACAUAACAUAUGUGUUUACGUUAUCUUUAUUUAUCGUUAUCUAGCCUCGUAAGUGUACGCAAAGCGGCAAUGUAGCUCGACAGAUGCAACAGUUUCAAAACUAUUGCGACCAUUGAACCAAUAAUAAUCUACGCGUGUUUGUACAAAAAUUGCUGCACAUAAAUAUAACUUUUUACACGCUAAUUUAUAUAGAUUGUGACACUUGAAACGGGCCACCUGAAUAACUCUGCCGCAGUUGGCAAUAGAAAUAAAUGGAUCAGACGAGAAACUUGCUUGGUGGCGAAGAGACAGUGAACGUGAUGAGAAUAGUUCCUUUGCAGAGAUAAGAGGUGUAGAGGAGAUGCGAAGGAAACAGCACAGCGGUCUAUGAUUGAAAGUCAUUCAAGGUUACCGAAGGUCAUUUGCAAUGGAGUAUGAUUUGCCUCACGGAACCUAUUCGAUUGCUGCGCUGCCUCUUGGUUACUAUGUGGCUCUUGUAAUCUCUUAUACGGAUCGUAGAAUGUAAACAAACGCUCAACCGGGUUGUGUGCUUCUUAUUUACUGUACCUACGUGUACUAUUAUUAGUAUGCUACUGCGGUAUGCUACCGAUCUAGAAGGGUCACGAACUUCUAAAAUGCGUUGCUCGAAAACGCAAAGAUUUGAUUAGUUUUUCGCUUGUAACGAAUUUUGAAGAAUUAUGAUACAACACAGUCUGUUUAUAGAUUAUAGAUUUUCUGAUUGUAUCGGACGUUUACAAUUAGUCCUUUCAGAUGUUAUACAGAUUCGUUAGAAAAUCGGGUGCGUAGAUACGUAAAAAAAGCAUCGAUGAUUCAACAGAGCAAUCGAUAGUGACGCUUUGGAACACUCAUCGAUGUUCAAGGUUAUCACCUUGAAUGCUUGCAUUGACAGAAUGCAUGCGAAUAAGUGGUUGCUUGAAGUCUAUCGGUUCCUUGAUGUAAAUUACUUUCGACCAUAGUCGACCUUGAAUGAUCUUGAAUGACCAUAGGUCACUGUACUAUUAAAAGGUGAAUAAAGACGUAUCAUUUCAGAGAGCAAAUUACUCUUCCCAUUUUAUCUACACUCCUCUACAAAGGAACCACAGCCACUGGAUCAUGAUCUUGACAUCAAGCACAUUUGAUCUCAUGUUUCUCCGUCAAUAGACGCGGUGUUUCAAGUGUUCCGGAAAAUAGAAACUGUAAUAAAACAAAGAGAUACAUUUA